UUAAAGAAAAACAACAGAAAACGAGGGUGAGUUAUGCUUUAACCAAAACCAAGUGGAAACUAAAACAUUCAGCCAAAUAUACUGCUACCCAGUGCUCGACUCGGACGAAAACAACUCAAUCCAUUACAGAAGACAACCCAAAACGCAGCAGAAAAACUCAGCAUUUACGAACAGAAAUCUAACACCCUGCUCCCGAGUUUUAAAAAGGUGUUGAGUGGGUUCAACCCAAGUCCCACAUCGGAAAGAUAAAGAAGAUUUAUCUUGAAUAUAAGCAGCCAAAGAACUCCAUUAGUAUGAGGCCUUUUGGGAGGAGCCCGAAAGCAAAUCCGUGCGGGCUUGGCCACAACCCAAAGCGGACAAUAUCAUACUAAUGUGGGGUGUUGCGCGGCCCAACAAGUGGUAUCAGAGCGAGGUUAAGAAGUUUGUCUUGGGGUUCCGGGCUGCAGUUGGGUGAUGUGGGGAGGCUCCCCAGAACUACGAUUGGAGGUCUUGGACGGUUUGUGUCGAAAGUCUUUUCGACAAAGGUGGUCGGACGGCGUGUCCCGCAAGAUGAGGAGUCAAUGAGUAGCGUCGGUAUAAAGGUCACAAGAUUGGUGGUUCUUGGAUUGAGGGGAGAUUGUUGAGUGGGUUCAACCCAAGUCCCACAUCGGAAAGAUAAAGAAGAUUUAUCUUGAAUAUAAGCAGCCAAAGAACUCCAUUAGUAUGAGGCCUUUUGGGAGGAGCCCGAAAGCAAAUCCGUGCGGGCUUGGCCACAGCCCAGAGCGGACAAUAUCAUACUAAUGUGGGGUGUUGCGCGGCCCAACAAAAGGGAGGAAAGCAAGUGAAUGCAAGUGAAAGCACACUGCUUUCACUUGCAUUCACUUGCUUUCUCUCCUAAAAAAACUCGGGAGCAAGGCCUAAGCUAGCACUACUCAGACUCGCGACUCAGAAGAACAAACUCGGUAUAGCUACUCGACAUUGACUGAAAACAGAACCCCGAACGCAGACAUUGACUCGGCGAAGCUACUCUUGACUCAGCUGAAACCAUCAAGAAUCAGACUCAGCAAUGGUGACUAAAACGAAUUUACAACCCAGCUAUUUGAUUCAACAAAACAAGACUCAAAAACUAAAAAAAAGCAGAGUGCCUCGGAAACGAAACUGAAAACCAACAGCAACAAUCGACGCAGCAAAAUAAAACUUAAAACUAAACCGAGACUCGGCAAGAAUCAAUCAGCAAACUGAAAACCUAGAAAACGGCAAC
rnacentral:lncRNA from 1 species